UUCUAGCCCCGAUUGUCGCGACAUCCUUUUUUGAAAUGGAAGCAGGCAUUGGCAAAAAAGAUACAGCAGAAAGCGGGAAAAAGC
rnacentral:sRNA from 1 species